rnacentral:lncRNA from 1 species
AAUGUAGUAAUGAGCACAUUUUCAUGGUUCAAAGAGCCCACUCCAUUUUACUGCCAGGAAAAAUGAAAAUGAUAAAGCGGAGAUUUUGACCAGUUUUUUGAUCAAGUUUUUCCUCUCAAUUUCAUAUUUCCUUAUUAUAGUUUAGUAGUUAAAUGUGGGACCAGUGCAGAGAGACAUCUUGGACUCAUAUCUUGAAGUUUUAUUUGGACAGUCAGGAGAGAGGGGGACUUAUAACCAAAAAACUAAAAAGAAGAAGAAAGUCAAAGGCAUGAUGUGCUGCAGGGAGCAGUCUUUCUCUGGCAGAAGAUGAGCUAAAUAGCCUAAUAGUUUUUUUUUCCAUCUGUAUUUCCUAUCGUCCUACUGCGAGCAGAAAGAAUUCGGAUCCAGCUGAUCUCUCGGGUGGGGGGUGGAGGAGGCUGCCUGCUCCACUGCCUAGCAUAGGCAGCAGAGAAAGCUGAGGAGAACAACACCCCUGCUGCAUUACCCCUGCUCUGCAGGAUCCCACCAAGCAUUUUCGCUGGCUCUUUGCAGUGCUGGAUCACCACCAGGCUGCAAGAAAGAAGGAUCAGCCACUGUCUAGAGCACUGCCCCGUGCUAACCCGCUGGAUUUCCAUGCUGAAAUCCAAGGGAGAGUUUAAGCAGCCUAAGUGUUGGCUGGGCUCUCUCUAGCUGCUACUGCGCAGCUGUGCGCUGGCUCGGCUUGUGCCAGGUGAGCUGCGGGUGGGUCCCGCUGCUUGGGGCAGCCUCAUGGGUAGAGCUCUGCAAGACCAGGGCUGGUGGGUGCUCCACUUGCAGGGGAUGCGCUUCUCCAGCUCUGCUGGCUGCUUGGUGCCCCGUGAGGAGAACUUGGAAAUGCUGUGCCCUUCAGCUCACAAAGUUUCCUGGCUCUUGCAGUCUGAUUUUCCAGGAAAGGGUACAAUCUAAACCCUCCAAUGAUUUGGUUAGCUGUUUUUCUUAAAAUUAAGGGAUUCAAAAUAAUGCCAAAUUGCUACCCAUGCCCUGGAGGACUAGGAGGCAAGCCAAAAAUGUGUUGUCACAAUGCACAUUACCUGAAAUUUUCACUAAAUUAAAAAGGGCUGUGAAGAAGUGACUCCCAAACUAUUUUAAAAAGACAUUUGUUACACAAUGUGCAUGUUUCUGCCACUUCAUACAGCAUACGUUAGGUUUUCCUGCCUCCUGUGAGCACUGACAGGACACAGCACGAAGACAAAGCUAGUUGCUGAAGAACUACUUCUGAAACACCCAUGAGACGUGAAGAACAACCGGUGAUCUCCUACAGGGAACAAUCUGCCACCAGAAGAGCUGUGCAUUUAAGUGAUUGUUUUGGCUCUGUUGCCAACUCAUGCCCUCAUUCUAAGGCGCACACAAAAACCAUAAAAUAAAAAAAUUAAAACAAAAAUUGUUUCUUGGGAAAGGAAAUCCUAAGAACAUCGAAUGUGUUCAAAAGACAUUCAUUUGGGUACUUGCAGAUGAAGGAAAUAAAUGCCAGAUUCACAGAAGCUGAGGUGGAACAUGCAUCGGGACUGGAGAACUAGUUCAGUUUCCAUCUCUCGGAAGAAAUGUGUGCACGUGCCACACAGGACAACAUUCUUAGUAAUCCCCUGUAAGGUGGCCGUGUCUGCUCAUGGUUUGGAGCGUUGCUCCUUGGUCUCUUCCAAUGAGACAUCCACUUUGUGUGCAGCAUUUUAUGUUCACACAGUCUAGGAACCAAACAACCACUUCCCUGCUGCGUGGGUCGUUUUCACAUUCAGCUCUAGCAAACAUUAAAAGCAGUUUGUUCCAAGAAGAUUAACUUCAAAUGGACUGCCUAAGGUAACCCAGAAGAGUUUAAAGUGACCUAGCAGCCACUUGUAGGAUAGUCAUCUGCAAGAUGGAAGAGCUAGGUUAAAACCUGCCUUUAAAAGAAGCACCACAGCUUUGAAUGGGCAUUCAGUACUUCCCAGUAAAGCCCCUAAGUGCCUCUGUGUCUCAGGUGGGUACUUCCAAGCCCUUCUCCUGCAGCUGUUCCUAAUCAGUGCUAAAAGCAAGAGUAGAAAGGAUCCCCAAGGGACCAGAGUGCUCACCUGGGAAGUGAGGGGGCACAGAUCUAAGCCCAGGGCUUAAUUAUGAUGCAGUUUUAGCUUAAGGUUUCAGUCACUGGAGUGACUGUGGUGUAUAAAUUGCAUGUGGAGAAUCUGGAUAAAAUAUAGUGGUAGUUAGGACUGUUGCUAUAUCUUUCUAAUUCCUACUGUUUCUUACUGCAGGAUUCUAUUUGAACUGAGCAAAGCUGGCUAGUGUUUGAGUGCUCUUCAGAUAAGCUCUGGGAAAUCAGGCAAGAAUAGUGUUUCAGGUUAUUGAGAAAGAUGAAGAAAUUGCUUGAUGUCACUGCACUGAUGAUGGGAAGACCCUUAUUUCUCCUUUCUUCUCUUCCUCAUAUGUGGAACUAGAGAGGUAAGCCUGCAAUAGAAAUUUUCUAUACCAAGUUAUGUUUUCAUCAAUACUCACUUCUCUCUGGAUUAGAGAGAUAGUAAAUACUUAGAUCUGAAUACUCCAUUUUGUUUCAUUUCCAAGUUGUGGGGUAUUUUUUUUGUUUUGUUUUUAGAUUCUUUUCAUUUUGGUGCUCUUUAUCUUAACA